UACGUAGGGGGCGAGCGUUGUCCGGAAUCAUUGGGCGUAAGGCGCACGUAGGCGGUCUUUUAAGUCGGAUGUGAAAGCCCCAGGCUCAACCUGGGAAGUGCAUCGGAAACUGAAAGGCUAGAGUACGGAAGAGGGUCUCGGAAUUCCCGGUGUAGAGGUGAAAUUCGUAGAUAUCGGGAGGAACACCAGUGGCGAAGGCGGAGACCUGGGCCGAUACUGACGCUGAGGUGCGAAAGCGUGGGGAGCAAACAGG
rnacentral:rRNA from 1 species